rnacentral:rRNA from 1 species
GUGGGGAAUCUUGCGCAAUGGGCGAAAGCCUGACGCAGCCAUGCCGCGUGAAUGAUGAAGGUCUUAGGAUUGUAAAAUUCUUUCACCGGGGACGAUAAUGACGGUACCCGGAGAAGAAGCCCCGGCUAACUUCGUGCCAGCAGCCGCGGUAAUACGAAGGGGGCUAGCGUUGCUCGGAAUUACUGGGCGUAAAGGGAGCGUAGGCGGACAGUUUAGUCAGAGGUGAAAGCCCAGGGCUCAACCUUGGAAUUGCCUUUGAUACUGGCUGUCUUGAGUUUGAGAGAAGUGUGUGGAACUCCGAGUGUAGAGGUGAAAUUCGUAGAUAUUCGGAAGAACACCAGUGGCGAAGGCGACACACUGGCCCAAUACUGACGCUGAGGCUCGAAAGCGUGGGGAGCAAACAGGAUUAGAUACCCGAGUAGUCC